GUUUCCUUUACAGGGCAAGGAGAGACACAAUCUAUGAAGCAAUUGUCAGGGGGUCAGAAAACUGUUGUUGCCCUGACAUUGAUCUUUGCCAUACAACGAUGUGAUCCUGCCCCUUUUUAUCUAUUUGAUGAGAUAGAUGCAGCCCUGGACCCCCAGUACAGAACUGCUGUUGGAAAUAUGAUUCGUCGUCUGGCUGACAUGGCAAAUACACAAUUUAUAACAACAACAUUCCGAUCGGAGCUUGUGAAAGUUGCUGAUAAGAUAUAUGGGGUCACACAUAAGAACAGGGUGAGCCGUGUUAAUGUUGUCUCCAAGGAAGAUGCAUUAGACUUUAUUGAGCAUGAUCAAUCUCACAACGCAGAUUAAGCUCAAGACCUAUCUGGGAUUAAUGAAGUUAUCAAUCUGAGGUUCUGCUGUAAAUAUAGUCUUUUGCGCUUACCAUGUAAAGUAUUAUCUUCAUCAGUCCAAAGACUUAUCUUUAUACAGAAACGUGGAUUUUGUAGGGUGUUAUGUUUGGUGGAACUGCAAAACUGUGUAGGGGGGUAAAACAGUACUUAGGUUAAUUUGUAUUAUACUCUUAUUUCUGAUUUAUUCCUGUAAAUUUCUUUUCCAUGUUCACCAUGAGCCUUGGCAAAUUACUAGUUGAAA